GUCGAGCGAGGUUACUGUUUUGGAUCCCUUCGGGGUGAAGAAGCUUUAACCUAGCGGCGGACGGGUGAGUAACGCGUGGGUAACCUACCCCAAAGUCCGGGAUAACAGCGGGAAACCGCUGCUAAUACCGGAUGUCUUUACCUUGGGGCAUCUUGAGGUAAAGAAAGGUAACGCUUUGGGAUGGGCCCGCGUCCCAUUAGCUAGUUGGUGAGGUAACGGCUCACCAAGGCGACGAUGGGUAGCCGGCCUGAGAGGGUGGACGGCCACACUGGGACUGAGACACGGCCCAGACUCCUACGGGAGGCAGCAGUAGGGAUAUUGCGCAAUGGACGGAAGUCUGACGCAGCGACGCCGCGUGAGCGAUGAAGGUCUUCGGAUCGUAAAGCUCUGUCCUUGGGGAAGAAGGCGAAAGCUUGACGGUACCCAAGAAGAAAGCCCCGGCUAACUACGUGCCAGCAGCCGCGGUAAUACGUAGGGGGCGAGCGUUGUCCGGAAUUACUGGGCGUAAAGGGUGCGUAGGCGGCCCUUUAAGUCGGAUGUGAAAGCCCGCGGCUUAACCGCGGAAUGGCAUUCGAAACUGGAGGGCUUGAGUGUCGGAGAGGGUAGUGGAAUUCCCAGUGUAGCGGUGAAAUGCAUAGAUAUUGGGAGG
rnacentral:rRNA from 1 species